UACGUAGGGUGCAAGCGUUGUCCGGAAUUAUUGGGCGUAAAGAGCUCGUAGGCGGUUUGUCGCGUCUGCUGUGAAAACUCAGGGCUUAACUCUGAGCUUGCAGUGGGUACGGGCAGACUAGAGUGCGGUAGGGGAGACUGGAAUUCCUGGUGUAGCGGUGAAAUGCGCAGAUAUCAGGAGGAACACCGGUGGCGAAGGCGGGUCUCUGGGCCGAUACUGACGCUGAGGAGCGAAAGCGUGGGGAGCAAACAGG
rnacentral:rRNA from 1 species